UUAGUGAGGCUUUCGGACUGGCUCAGGGUGCGCGGCAACGCCUGCCCAGAGCCGGAAAGUUGUUCAAACUUGGUCAUUUAGAGGAAGUAAAAGUNGUAACAAGGUUUCNGUAGGUGAACCUGCGGAAGGAUCAUUACAAGUGAGGCUACCGAACGUUGGAAACAGCGGUUAGGAGCUUACACCCACCCGUGUUUACAUACUAUUGUUGCUUUGGCGGGCCGUGGCCUCCACUGCGGGCUCUGCUCGUGUGUGCCCGCCAGAGGACCAAACUCUGAAUGUUAGUGAUGUCUGAGUACUAUCUAAUAGUUAAAACUUUCAACAACGGAUCUCUUGGUUCUGGCAUCGAUGAAGAACGCAGCGAAAUGCGAUAAGUAAUGUGAAUUGCAGAAUUCAGUGAAUCAUCGAAUCUUUGAACGCACAUUGCGCCCUGUGGUAUUCCGCAGGGCAUGCCUGUUCGAGCGUCAUUUAACCACUCACGCCUAGCGUGGUAUUGGGGCACGCGGUCUCGCGGCCCUCAAAAUUAGUGGCGGCGCCGGUGGGCUCUAAGCGUAGUACAUACUCCCGCUAUAGAGUUCCCCCGGUGGCUCGCCAGAACCCCCAAUUUUUUACAGGUUGACCUCGGAUCAGGUAGGGAUACCCGCUGAACUUAAGCAUAUCAAUAAGCGGAGGAAAAGAAACC
rnacentral:rRNA from 1 species